UACGUAGGGUGCGAGCGUUGCCCGGAUUUAUUGGGCGUAAAGGGCGCGUAGGCGGCUCGGCACGUCCGUUGUGAAAUCGCCCGGCUCAACUGGGCGGGGUCAGCGGAUACGGUCGAGCUUGAGCAAGCUAGGGGGUAAUGGAAUUCCCGGUGUAGUGGUGGAAUGCGUAGAUAUCGGGAGGAACACCAGUGGCGAAGGCGGUUACCUGGGGCUUUGCUGACGCUGAUGCGCGAAAAGCGUGGGGGAGCGAUCCGG
rnacentral:rRNA from 1 species